UACGUAGGGUGCAAGCGUUAAUCGGAAUUACUGGGCGUAAAGCGUGCGCAGGCGGUUAUGUAAGACAGAUGUGAAAUGCCCGGGCUUAACCUGGGAACUGCAUUUGUGACUGCAUGGCUAGAGUGUGUCAGAGGGGGGUAGAAUUCCACGUGUAGCAGUGAAAUGCGUAGAUAUGUGGAGGAAUACCGAUGGCGAAGGCAGCCCCCCUGGGAUAACAC
rnacentral:rRNA from 1 species